rnacentral:rRNA from 1 species
UGGGGAAUAUUGCACAAUGGACGGAAGUUUGAUGCAGCGACGCCGCGUGGAGGGUGUAGGCCUUCGGGUUGUGAACUCCUUUUUCUCGCGAAAAAGGCACAGUUUUGGCUGUGUUGAUGGUAGUGGGGGAAGAAGCGCCGGCUAACUACGUGCCAGCAGCCGCGGUAAUACGUAGGGCGCGAGCGUUGUCCGGAUUGAUUGGGCGUAAAGAGCUCGUAGGUGGUUCGUCGCGUCUGUCGUGAAAGCCAGCAGCUUAACUGUUGGUCUGCGGUGGGUACGGGCGGGCUUGAGUGCGGUAGGGGUGACUGGAAGUCCUGGUGUAGCGGUGGAAUGCGCAGAUAUCAGGAGGAACACCGAUGGCGAAGGCAGGUCACUGGGCCGUUACUGACACUGAGGAGCGAAAGCGUGGGGAGCGAACAGG